rnacentral:rRNA from 1 species
UACGAAGGGGGCUAGCGUUGCUCGGAAUCACUGGGCGUAAAGGGUGCGUAGGCGGGUCUUUAAGUCAGGGGUGAAAUCCUGGAGCUCAACUCCAGAACUGCCUUUGAUACUGAAGAUCUUGAGUUCGGGAGAGGUGAGUGGAACUGCGAGUGUCGAGGUGAAAUUCGUAGAUAUUCGCAAGAACACCAGUGGCGAAGGCGGCUCACUGGCCCGAUACUGACGCUGAGGCACGAAAGCGUGGGGAGCAAACAGG